UGCAUGGCACUAUUUUGGGGUGAAUUGCUGAAGCCUUAAAUAGCUACAUUACUGAAAGAGGAGAAAAAGCAGUCUUCAGCUGUGAGCUGUGUACGUACACCUCACUCAAGAGAUCGAGUCGGAACUGUCACAGGAAAAUCCAUUCUGAAGAAAAAUGUCAUGUGUCUCAAGGCUUUUCAAACAGCUGCUCUCCUGCAGAACCAUGUGAAUGUCCAUACAGCAGCGUGGUGUGCACAAGCAUCCUGAAAACUGUGGAUUGGUGAGGGCCAAAACUGCUACGCCCAGAAAAAGAAGCAAGGACAGAAGGAAAGAAAGUGAGAAUGAAAAGCAUGCUAAGCAAAAAGAUGUCUCUACUGUGAAGAGUGAACAUUGUGCCAGAGAGAUUGCUCCUCAUUUAGAAGGAACAGAGGGAACAGCUUUGAAAGCAGAAGACAGAAGCACCUUGUGAGAUGGCUGUGAUGGACUGACAUCUGAAGGUUACUGGGAAGCUUCACCUCUUUUAUUCCAUUCACACAACAGAACGAAGAAAAUGAGCUAAAUUUGAAAGCUUGCUGUUGGUUGGACUUCUCAGCUUGUUGCCCAUCCUUCCCAACACCAGAUGUUAGGAAACAUGUGACAGCAGCAUGGUUUGGACUGAAUGUAGCAGCAUGGCUCAAUCAGUCAAUAAGGAAAGGAAGAACAAACACUCAUCAAAUUCAAUGUUGAUAUGGAUAUCUUUACUUGAAAUGGUGGUGAUGCUGCUGGAAUCUGCUGAGAAGCAACGCCUUGAGACUGACUCCUCCACACCUGUGGAGUCUCAGGGCCAACCAUUGCCCAUGCUGGUGAGCUUUGGGGAGGAGCAGGUCAGACAGAGCCACAGCACUCUAUUACAGAAGCCUUGUGACCAAGACAGAUGCCAGUAGCUG
ensembl:lncRNA